rnacentral:pre_miRNA from 1 species
ACAACAACAUUCGGACCGUCGGUCUACCGAGCAAUAUCACCCACUCGGUGGAAGAUCUUCCCUUUCGUCGUUAAGC